UACGGGGGAUGCAAGCGUUAUCCGGAGUCAUUAGGCGUAAAGCGCCUGUAGGUUGUUUAGUAAGUCUGUUGUUAAAGCCUAGGGCUUAACCCUAGAACAGCAAUGGAAACUACUAGGCUAGAGUAUGGUAGGGGUAGAGGGAAUUUCUAGUGUAGCGGUGAAAUGCGUAGAUAUUAGAAAGAACACCGGUGGCGAAAGCGCUCUACUGGACCAUUACUGACACUCAGAGGCGAAAGCUAGGGUAGCAAAAGGGAUUAGAAACCCCUGUAGUCCUAGCCGUAAACGAUGGAUACUAGAUGUUGUGUUUAUUUCACAGUGUCCUAGCUAACGCGUUAAGUAUCCCGCCUGGGGAGUACGCUCGCAAGGGUG
rnacentral:rRNA from 1 species